rnacentral:rRNA from 1 species
AUUGUUCAAGAUAAGCCAUGCACGUCUAAGUACAAACUAAAUGAUGGUGAAACUGCAAAUGGCUCAUUACAACGGUUAUGAUGUACCCGGGAGUUCCGAUGGAUAUUUCCAGUAACACUAGAACUAAUACAUGUCCCUGCGUUUAUUAGUUUCGCACAGUCCGUCGCUGAGUCAUGGUAAACAGUUGAUCGACUCGACGUCCCGGAACAGUUUCCGCCCCAUCAGCUUCGAUGGUUGGGUAUUGGCCUACCAUUGCAACAACGGGUAACGAGGAAUUAGGGUUUGAUUUCGGAGAGGGAGCCUGAGAAACGGCUACCACAUCUACGGAUGGCAGCAGGCGCGCAAAUUACCCAAUGCAGACACUGUGAGGUAGUGACGAGAAAUAAUAAAGCGGGACUUCUGUUUCGCUAUUAUAAUGAGGAAUAACCAAAGGUCAUUCCGAUUAGCAACUGAUGGGAAAGUCUGGUGCCAGCAGCCGCGGUAAUACCAGCGUCAGUAGC